UACGUAGGGUGCAAGCGUUGUCCGGAAUUAUUGGGCGUAAAGAGCUCGUAGGCGGUUUGUCGCGUCUGCUGUGAAAACUCGGGGCUUAACCCCGGGCCUGCAGUGGGUACGGGCAGACUAGAGUGCGGUAGGGGAGACUGGAAUUCCUGGUGUAGCGGUGAAAUGCGCAGAUAUCAGGAGGAACACCGAUGGCGAAGGCAGCUCGCUGGGACGGUACUGACGCUGAGGCGCGAAAGCGUGGGGAGCGAACAGG
rnacentral:rRNA from 1 species